AAGUCGAGGGGCAGCACAGUGUGUAGCAAUACACAUGGGUGGCGACCGGCGGACGGGUGAGUAAUACGUGGGAACCUGCCCAGGAGUGGGGGAUAGCCCGAGGAAACUCGGAUUAAUACCGCAUACUCCCUACGGGGAAAAGCGGGGGAUCGCAAGACCUCGCGCUCUUGGAGGGGCCCACGUCCGAUUAGCUAGUUGGUAGGGUAAAGGCCUACCAAGGCAAUGAUCGGUAGCUGGUCUGAGAGGACGACCAGCCACACUGGGACUGAGACACGGCCCAGACUCCUACGGGAGGCAGCAGUGGGGAAUAUUGGACAAUGGGGGCAACCCUGAUCCAGCAAUGCCGCGUGUGUGAAGAAGGCCUGCGGGUUGUAAAGCACUUUCAGUAGGGAAGAAAAGCUGAUCGCUAACACCGGUCAGUCUUGACGUUACUUACAGAAGAAGCACCGGCUAACUCUGUGCCAGCAGCCGCGGUAAUACAGAGGGUGCGAGCGUUAAUCGGAAUUACUGGGCGUAAAGCGUGCGUAGGCGGUCCCGUAAGUCGGAUGUGAAAGCCCUGGGCUUAACCCAGGAACUGCAUUCGAUACUGCGGGGCUAGAGUGUGGGAGAGGGAAGUGGAAUUCCCGGUGUAGCGGUGAAAUGCGUA
rnacentral:rRNA from 1 species